GAUUUUGGUGUAGAAAUUUCUCUGAUCUUAUGUUCUAAGGAUAAGGGUCGUACAACAUGUGUGUUUGAUAUUCGUAGAAACUACAUUUUGAAAUUCGCUAUAUUUAUAUCGAAACCGUUAAUCGCAAAUAAAUGGCAUUCCUUCAUCUCUCUCCCCAUUCUUCCUCUUUUCUCCUCAACAGUUCCAUUGAUUCAUACUCUACAGCUUUAAUCUCUCCGAAACGCCUUUUCCAUUUGUCAUCAAACCAACACAACCGCCAUGCCUCACUUCAAUUACCGUGCUACAGCUCCAAUCGAGGAUGGAGAAUUGGGGUUUCCUUUUUCGCCCCUUUCUUGGACAGAAGCAGCGAAAUCGAGAGCCUGAAGCAGCAGCUUCUCGAUGCCAUUGCUCCGCUCGACCGAGGCGCCGACGCUACUCCGGAGGACCAGCAGCUUAUCGAUCAGAUUGCAAGCAAACUUGAAGCGAAGAACAAAGUGAAGGAGCCGCUCAAGUCGAAUCUUCUGAAUGGGAAAUGGGAGCUCUUUUACACAACAUCCAAGUCUGUUAUUCAGAGUGAGAGACCCAAGAUCCUCAGACCAAAUGGAAAAAUUUACCAAGCAAUCAACUUGGAUACCUUGAGGGCUCAAAAUAUCCAAACUUGGCCAUUUUUCAAUCAGGCUACAGCUAAUUUGGUUCCACUAAAUCAAAGAAGAGUUGCUGUUAAGUUUGAUAGUUUUAAGAUUGCUGGUGUGAUACCUAUCAAGGCACGUGGAAGUGGGCGUGGCCAGCUUGAAAUUACGUACUUGGAUGAAGAGCUGCGAAUAUCGCGGGGAAAUCAAGGGAAUCUGUUUAUACUUGGAAUGGUGGAUCCCUUUUACAGAGUACCCAUGUAGGAGCUCCAAACACGGUUCAACAGAGAUGAAUUUACUGUAAAAGUAUGACUGUAUGAGGGUCGAUCAAGGGGAGUUCUCGCCUAAUGUUGUCGUUGCUGCAUUCCCGAAGUUGAUGAAAUUUGAGUUGGGGGUGAAUGAGUAGCUAACCGGCCACAUCUUUCGAUGUUUGUCGAUCUGAUGUUAUUAUGGUUUUGUUUACUUCAUGAGGAUGUGAGAAUUUGAGUUGUCUGGUGCAUAUCUGUUGGAUUUAUACUCU